UCUUAUCUUCUGAUCAUCGGAUAGCUUUUUCCAAGACUCUUAAAAGAGUCUCUCAUGAACUACGCUUGCAGUAAUUUCACAAGCUCUUGUCUGCUUCAUCAAUGGCGAUCUCGAUCCCUCUACGCUUCCUUGCCGUCUCUUAUCGUCGAAGCUCACCUUUUCAUUUCUUCCACUACUUUCUUUGGCUCAAUUUUUGGUGCUGAUUGAUUGGUUCUGUUUUACAGAGAGUAAAACGUUUUGGCCUGGCUAAGCAUGGCCGGCUGGCCACCAGGGCUUCUGGGUCUGACGAAAAUAGCUCUCUUAAUGGGUUUAACAUCACACCCAACAAUCUUUUCAUGUAAGAGCUUUGGCCUUCAGGUGAAGCCAAAUUUUUCAAGAAGGAGAUGGUUGUACCUUGAAUCAACUGGGUGCCAGAAUGGUGGCUCGUUCUUCAUUGAUCCAGAUCUCCAGGAAUGAAAGAAACACUAGAUUCAGAUCGAUCUCUAUGGAUCUGGGAUCUGAUGACAAUGAAGCGGAUGAUGCUUGCUGAAGAACAGAUCUGAACAAAUCUGGAAAUUAUGACUAAAAAAGAAUAUUAUCUCAUGGGAUUUGACUUAGGAGAUUAUUAUCACUAAUUGUGAUAAUAUUAAUUAAUCUUUAAAGUAAAUUAAGAAAAACAAAAUUGCUAAAAUGAUAUCCUUAAUUGUAUAUGUGUAGAGAUGGAUCCCCGUAGAAAAUACAUCAAUUCACACUGAUGUCAAGAAUCAAAUAUAAUUAUAAUUUUAAUUAUAAUUUUAAUUGUGUCAUGUGUAGUAUUAAUGGGUCCCACUAAAAAACUCACACUGAUUUUUUUAUCAGUGGGGGAAGACCAAAAACCACCCCACCAAAUGGAACAGACGUAGCAUCUGUGAGUGUAGGGUAGCCAUUGGGCUUCCCA